rnacentral:rRNA from 1 species
UACGUAGGGUGCGAGCGUUGUCCGGAAUUAUUGGGCGUAAAGGGCUCGUAGGCGGUCUGUUGCGUCGGGAGUGAAAACUCAGGGCUUAACCCUGAGCCUGCUUCCGAUACGGGCAGACUAGAGGUAUGCAGGGGAGAACGGAAUUCCUGGUGUAGCGGUGAAAUGCGCAGAUAUCUGGAGGAACACCGGUGGCGAAGGCGGCAUCCUGGACCAUUACUGACGCUGAGGAGCGAAAGCCAGGGGAGCAAACGGG